rnacentral:misc_RNA from 1 species
UCCGAGUUGACCCCGGCAGUCUCCUGCGAGUCCCCGCCAUUACGCGCUGGCAACACAGGACAAGGGUUGCGCUCGUUGCGGGACUUAACCCAACAUCUCACGACACGAGCUGACGACAGCCAUGCAGCACCUGUGUCACGGUUCCCGAAGGCACCAAUCCAUCUCUGGAAAGUUCCGUGCAUGUCAAGGCCAGGUAAGGUUCUUCGCGUUGCAUCGAAUUAAACCACAUACUCCACCGCUUGUGCGGGCCCCCGUCAAUUCCUUUGAGUUUCAGUCUUGCGACCGUACUUCCCAGGCGGCGAACUUAACGCGUUAGCUUCGAUACUGAAGGCUCAAUUGCCCCCAACAUCCAGUUCGCAUCGUUUAGGGCGUGGACUAC